rfam:Felis catus isolate Cinnamon breed Abyssinian chromosome A3, whole genome shotgun sequence.
GCCUGGGUGGCUCAGUCGGUUGAGCGUCCGACUUCGGCUCAGGUCAUGAUCUCGCGGUCCGUGAGUUCGAGCCCCGCAUCGGGCU